rnacentral:rRNA from 1 species
UACGUAGGGGGCAAGCGUUGUCCGGAUUUACUGGGCGUAAAGCGCACGUAGGCGGAUUUGUAAGUCAGGGGUGAAAUCCCGGGGCUCAACCUCGGAACUGCCUUUGAUACUGCAAAUCUCGAGUCCGAUAGAGGUGGGUGGAAUUCCUAGUGUAGAGGUGAAAUUCGUAGAUAUUAGGAAGAACACCGGUGGCGAAGGCGGCCCACUGGAUCGGUACUGACGCUGAGGUGCGAAAGCGUGGGGAGCAAACAGG